GUAGUUCAAGUAUUCCAG
rnacentral:siRNA from 1 species